CGCGGCCUAUCAGCUUGUUGGUGAGGUAAUGGCUCACCAAGGCUUCGACGGGUAGCCGGCCUGAGAGGGCGACCGGCCACACUGGGACUGAGAUACGGCCCAGACUCCUACGGGAGGCAGCAGUGGGGAAUAUUGCACAAUGGGCGCAAGCCUGAUGCAGCAACGCCGCGUGCGGGAUGACGGCCUUCGGGUUGUAAACCGCUUUCAGUAGGGACGAAGCUAACGUGACGGUACCUACAGAAGAAGGACCGGCUAACUACGUGCCAGCAGCCGCGGUGAUACGUAGGGUCCGAGCGUUGUCCGGAAUUAUUGGGCGUAAAGGGCUUGUAGGCGGUCCGUCGCGUCAGGAGUGAAAACUCGGGGCUUAACCCCGAGCCUGCUUUUGAUACGGGCGGACUAGAGGGAUGCAGGGGAGAACGGAAUUCCUGGUGGAGCGGUGGAAUGCGCAGAUAUCAGGAGGAACACCGGUGGCGAAGGCGGUUCUCUGGGCAUCACCUGACGCUGAGAAGCGAAAGCGUGGGGAGCAAACAGGCUUAGAUACCCUGGUAGUCCACGCCGUAAACGGUGGGCACUAGGUGUGGGGGACAUUCCACGUUCUCCGUGCCGAAGCUAACGCAUUAAGUGCCCCGCCUGGGGAGUACGG
rnacentral:rRNA from 1 species